GUCCAGGUGGCGGAAUGGCAUACGCGACGGUCUCAGAAACCGGCCCUUCGGGGUAUGAGGGUUCGAGUCCCUCUCUGGACACCA
rnacentral:tRNA from 1 species